UACAGAGGUCCCAAGCGUUGUUCGGAUUCACUGGGCGUAAAGGGUGCGUAGGUGGCUUGGAAAGUUUGAUGUGAAAGCUCAGGGCUUAACCCUGAAAUGGCAUUGAAUACUAUCGAGCUGGAGGUUUGGAGGGGGGACUGGAAUUCUUGGUGUAGCAGUGAAAUGCGUAGAUAUCAAGGGGAACACCAGUGGCGAAGGCGAGUCCCUGGACAACACCUGACACUGAGGCACGAAAGCCGGGGGAGCAAACAGG
rnacentral:rRNA from 1 species